CAUAAUCAUUAGUUUUUUAAUUGAAAGCUUGUAUGAAUGGUUGAACAAAAAAAAUACUGUCUCUUUUUUAAAAAUUGAAUUUAACUUUUAAGUGAAAAGGCUUAAAUUUUUUAAGGGGACGAUAAGACCCUAUAAAGCUUUAUAAUAAUAUAAUAGUUUUUUGAUAUAAAUUUAUAAAGAAAUAUAUUUAUUUUUUAUUUUAUUGGGGCGAUAUAGAUAUAAAUGUAUGUAACUGUUACUAAUUAAACCAUUAAUUUAUGAAUCAUAAAUGAUCCUUAUUUAAAGAUUAAAAGACAAAGUUACUUUAGGGAUAACAGCGUUAUUUCUUUUGAGAGUUCUUAUUGAAAAAGAAGUUUGCGACCUCGAUGUUGAAUUAAAAAAUCUUUACAGUGUAGCCUUUGUAAGAA
rnacentral:rRNA from 1 species